rnacentral:tRNA from 1 species
GCUUCUGUAGUUGAUUACAACGGUGGUUUUUCAAGCCAUUGGUCUCGGUUAGAGUCCGGGCAGGAGUA